CAAACUGCGAAUACCGGAGAAUGUUAUCACGGGAGACACACGGCGGGUGCUAACGUCCGUCGUGAAGAGGGAAACAACCCAGACCGCCAGCUAAGGUCCCAAAGUCAUGGUUAAGUGGGAAACGAUGUGGGAAGGCCCAGACAGCCAGGAUGUUGGCUUAGAAGCAGCCAUCAUUUAAAGAAAGCGUAAUAGCUCACUGGUCGAGUCGGCCUGCGCGGAAGAUGUAACGGGGCUAAACCAUGCACCGAAGCUGCGGCAGCGACGCUUAUGCGUUGUUGGGUAGGGGAGCGUUCUGUAAGCCUG
rnacentral:rRNA from 1 species